rnacentral:rRNA from 1 species
GACGAACGCUGGCGGCGUGCUUAACACAUGCAAGUCGAACGGAAAGGCCCUGCUUUUGUGGGUUGCUCGAGUGGCGAACGGGUGAGUAACACGUGAGUAACCUGCCCUUGACUUUGUGAUAACUUCAGGAAACUGGGGCUAAUACCGGAUAGGAUCUCCUGCUGCAUGGUGGGGGUUGGUAAGUUUCGGCGGUUGGGGAUGGACUCGCGGCUUAUCAGCUUGUUGGUGGGGUAGUGGCUUACCAAGGCUUUGACGGGUAGCCGGCCUGAGAGGGUGACCGGCCACAUUAGGACUGAGAUACGGCCCAGACUACUACGGGAGGCAGCAGUGGGGAAUAUUGCACAAUGGGCGGAAGCCUGAUGCAGCAACGCCGCGUGCGGGAUGACGGCCUUCGGGUUGUAAACCGCUUUCGCCUGUGACGAAGCGUGAGUGACGGUAAUGGGUAAAGAAGCACCGGCUAACUACGUG